AUCCUUUGGUUCAUGUGAGAGCAUGAUGGUCGAGUGUUCAUGCCAUAUGUGUGAAAUGUACCUCCCCUCAGAUAUUACUAUGUCAGCACAUUACCUGUCUGACA
rfam:Fukomys damarensis contig57004, whole genome shotgun sequence.